AGGGGUGUAGCUCCAAUUGGUAGAGCGGCGGUCUCCAAAACCGCAUGUUGUGAGUUCGAGUCUCCCCACCCCUG
rnacentral:tRNA from 1 species